UACGAAGGGGGCUAGCGUUGUUCGGAAUUACUGGGCGUAAAGCGCGCGCAGGCGGUCUUCCAAGUCAGUGGUGAAAGCCCGGAGCUCAACUCCGGAACUGCCAUUGAAACUGUGAGACUAGAGUACGAGAGAGGUGAGUGGAAUUCCCAGUGUAGAGGUGAAAUUCGUAGAUAUUGGGAAGAACACCGGUGGCGGAGGCGGCUCACUGGCUCGUUACUGACGCUCAGGCGCGACAGCGUGGGGAUCAAACAGG
rnacentral:rRNA from 1 species